UACGAAGGGUGCAAGCGUUACUCGGAAUUACUGGGCGUAAAGGGUGCGUAGGUGGUCGUUUAAGUCCGUUGUGAAAUCCCUGGGCUCAACCUGGGAAUGGCAGUGGAUACUGGACGGCUAGAAUGCGGUAGAGGGUAGUGGAAUUCCCGGUGUAGCAGUGAAAUGCGUAGAGAUCGGGAGGAACACCAGUGGCGAAGGCGAAUCUCUGGACAGUUACUGACGCUGAGGCACGAAGGCCAGGGGAGCAAACGGG
rnacentral:rRNA from 1 species